rnacentral:rRNA from 1 species
CCAGACUCCUACGGGAGGCAGCAGUGGGGGAUAUUGCACAAUGGGGGGAACCCUGAUGCAGCGACGCCGCGUGGGUGAAGGAGCGUUUCGGCGCGUAAAGCCCUAUCGGCAGGGAAGAAGGAGGACGGUACCUGACUAAGAAGCCCCGGCUAACUACGUGCCAGCAGCCGCGGUAAUACGUAGGGGGCAAGCGUUAUCCGGAUUUACUGGGUGUAAAGGGGGCGCAGACGGCAGCGCAAGCCAGGAGUGAAAGCCCGGGGCCCAACCCCGGGACUGCUCUUGGAACUGCGCGGCUGGAGUGCAGGAGGGGCAGGCGGAAUUCCUGGUGUAGCGGUGAAAUGCGUAGAUAUCAGGAGGAACACCGGUGGCGAAGGCGGCCUGCUGGACUGCGACUGACGUUGAGGCCCGAAAGCGUGGGGAGCAAACAGGAUUAGAUACCCCAGUA